GUCUGGAGCAGAGUAGGGAACAGGAAGAACCUAGUUCCAUAAUCUAACCACUAGGCCACCUUUAAGCUGCUUUAAACAUUUUCCAGUUCAAUUGCAUUGUGACCUUUGUUACUUUCCUGAUGUGUACUGAAGGGCUGGAAUGGUCUCAAGGAAGUCCAGGGUCUGUCUACUGUCUGGCAAUGGAAUUUCAGUGCCCUGUAAAAAAAAUGAUCCAUAAGCCCGAGUGCCCAAGCCACAUUUUACGUCUUUGCCACUUCGUCUUUAAGCAUCUCUUCAGAGCUUCAUUCUUCGACUCUCUUCCCUGGAGCUGCAGCAGCACCUCAGGCACCUCCUACCCAACACCGCAUCCCCCAGAAAACCUCAAACUCGGAGCCUCAUUGGUCAGUGGCCUCCCGAGCCUCACAUUUUCUGCCAAUCGGGAGACCCCAUUAUCAAGAGGAGGAGCCACCUAUUUAACUGCCCUCUAAGAUUACCUGUAAGCUCAGUGCUUGUCCUGAGGAACAAUUUCAGGGUGCGCCCCCCUUCCAUGGCCAAGAAGGGGAUGGUGUGGAAACUCUUUGAAAGACCCUGACUCCGGAAUUAAUCCUGGAAAGCCACUGCCACAUGACAGGGAGGAAGAGAAGUUGCCUGCCCGGGAGAGCUUACAGUUUAAACUGCCAAACAAAGUAAAGGAGUGAGGAAGAAGAGCAGCGAAGAGCAGUGUGAUGGAAACGACACCGUUAAGCACACGUUUGGU